CCUACGGGUGGCUGCAGUGAGGAAUAUUGGUCAAUGGACGAGAGUCUGAACCAGCCAAGUCGCGUGAAGGAUGACUGCCCUAUGGGUUGUAAACUUCUUUUAUAAAGGAAUAAAACGAGGCACGUGUGCCUUUUCGCAGGUACUUUAUGAAUAAGGAUCGGCUAACUCCGUGCCAGCAGCCGCGGUAAUACGGAGGCUCCGAGCGUUAUCCGGAUUUAUUGGGUUUAAAGGGGGGGUAGAGGGGGUGUUAAGUCAGUUGUGAAAAUUUUCGGGUCAACCGUAACAUAGCAAUUGAUACUGGUAGUCUUGAGUACGUGUGAGGUAGGCGGAAUUCGUGGUGUAGCGGUGAAAUGCUUAGAUAUCACGAAGAACCCCGAUUGCGAAGGCAGCUUACUAAACUGUGACUGACAUUGAUGCUCGAAAGUGUGGGUAUCAAACAGGAUUAGAUACCCUAGUAGUC
rnacentral:rRNA from 1 species